AAAGGGUCCUGAGGUGGUUUGCCCAGUCUACUGUGAAAGAUCAGGGCUCAACCCUGAAAAUGCGGUGGAAACUAGCAGGCUAGAAUACGGUAGGGGCAGGGGGAAUUCCCGGUGUAGCGGUGAAAUGCAUAGAUAUCGGGAAGAACACCAAUGGCGAAAGCACCCUGCUGGGCCGAUAUUGACACUGACAGACGAAAGCUAGGGGAGCAAAUGGGAUUAGAUACCCCGGU
rnacentral:rRNA from 1 species